UUGGCAAAGGGGUGUUUUUGUUGCUGCCUCACAUCUCAGAAGCCGAGAGCGUAAAUAUAAUGAGUUACUCAACCCCUCUUAUUCUAUUUUAGUUUACCUGACAAGAACAGAGUCCCUGACUACAGCUCGCGUGCUAAUCACGUGAACGAGAAGACCGCUACGCAAAUGAGAAACCCUAAUUUUCCCUCGAUUACUUGAGCCCGACGGGUUCAGAGCAGUGCGCGCUGCCUGGCGGCGAUGAUAGCGGCGAUUCGGACGUCGCCAAGCCCUUUGGUCUUUGAAUUUAGAGGAUUUUACAAGUGGAUUGAUUAGGCCUAUGCAGUGCAAGAACCAGGGAAUUUCUUCUAUCAGAGAACGACAGGUCUGCAGACUUAAUGGCAUCCAAUUUCAUAUUUCAGCUUUCCUGUCACCUGUGGGUUUUUGGUAUGACGGCCAUGCAUGCUAAGCACUGACAACUGGGUGCAGCAACCUUCUCAUUUCUCUCCAUCAACAAGAUGCAGUGUUCUUCUUCUAUCUCAACCGAGAGGGGAAGGAGUGGGUGUCUGAACUCGAAGACAACCAAACCCUUGGUGGCAGGCCUACUGUAAUAUCAAUUCUUAUCACUUGUUUAUGGAAUUACCAAAAGGAAGAGGGCAGCACAUGAUGGCAAUGCAGCAAGGAAGCGUCUGCGUGUAACUAUUGUCUCUAGUUCCACAAAAUAGCUGUAUAUUUGGAUGUGCCUUGACAACCAUCAUUUCUUGUGACAUUCUUCUGCUAGUUGAGUUAAACAAAGGUCCAUCAUCUAUUGCCUUGGUUGGAGUUAUGUUUAUAAUAUCAAGAUAAUAGGCCUACUUUAUUCU